UGGCGGACGGGUGAGUAAUGUCUGGGAAACUGCCCGAUGGAGGGGGAUAACUACUGGAAACGGUAGCUAAUACCGCAUAACGUCGCAAGACCAAAGAGGGGGACCUUCGGGCCUCUUGCCAUCGGAUGUGCCCAGAUGGGAUUAGCUAGUAGGUGGGGUAACGGCUCACCUAGGCGACGAUCCCUAGCUGGUCUGAGAGGAUGACCAGCCACACUGGAACUGAGACGCGGUCCAG
rnacentral:rRNA from 1 species